rnacentral:rRNA from 1 species
GACGAACGCUGGCGGCGUGCUUAACACAUGCAAGUCGAACGAUGAAAGCGGGAGCUUGCUCCCGCUGGAUUAGUGGCGAACGGGUGAGUAACACGUGAGCAAUCUGCCCUUGACUCUGGGAUAACGCCGAGAAAUUGGUGCUAAUACCGGAUAUGACCCCUGGCGGCAUCGCUGGGGGUGGAAAGUUUUUCGGUCAAGGGUGAGCUCGCGGCCUAUCAGCUUGUUGGUGAGGUAAUGGCUCACCAAGGCGACGACGGGUAGCCGGCCUGAGGGGGUGACCGGCCACACUGGGACUGAGACACGGCCCAGACUCCUACGGGGGGCAGCAGUGGGGAAUAUUGCACAAUGGGCGAAAGGCUGAUGCAACGACGCCGAGUGGGGGAUGACGGCCUUCAGGUGGUAAACCUCUUUUAGCAGGGAAGAAGCGAAAGUGACGGUACCUGCAGAAAAAGCGCCGGCUAACUACGUGCCAGCCGCCGCGGUAACAC